rnacentral:lncRNA from 1 species
GUUCCCUCUCUUGGUAAUCUGUCCUACUCCAAUAUCAUCAAUGCAGCAUUGGAAGUCAGCCAUCUCUGAUUGGUGUACUGGUUGCCCAUUAAGUCUGUCAUCCACUCCUAACACACUGUUAAAGUCACCCACUAUAAGCCAUGGACCACUAUAUGUUUAGUUCUCAAACUCCGCCAUAGGGAUACUCUUUGCUGGAUGGAAUGAAGGCCAUAGACAAAGGUGAUAUAGCUAGCAAAUGUGGAGUUCUUGUCUGUCACCCGGCAGUGAAUCAUUUGCUCAGUGGUUUCUAGAGUUACAACAUGGAUAUUUGACAAUUUCCACAUUAUCCAUAUCCUCCCAUUAGGUGCAGAAGCAUAGUUAUUUUCAAUGUUCCAUUCACCUCCCAGUUUCUUGUAGAUUGUGUGUGAAUGUGGUUGUUUCACUCUAGUUUCUAGACAAGCUACCAUGUCUACUUUAUUGGUCCUCAAGAACUUUACUAGCUCUCUCUGUUUUGUAGGACUUGUUAAGCCCUCUAAUGUUCCAGGAGACAAUGAUCAUGG